rnacentral:lncRNA from 1 species
GUCUGAAAAGUCGCUAAAUAUAGUGAAAAAGUCGCUAAAUUGGCAACACUGCUCAGAAACAGCGAGUGUAGAUACAGUGUCUUAAUCUGCUGGAUCACUGGGAUCCUGAAUAAAUCUUUUUUCUUUUUCUUUCUUUUUUUAAAGUUUAGUUUUAAAGAAGACAACUCCACAGCCGGACUCGUCUGACGGGCCACGCCGAGGUGCUGAUUUGUUCCUGAAUGUUCCUCUCAGUCUUCAUUCCUCCUCCGAAACCACAGGCAGCUCCUCUCACAGGCCAGAGGGCUGAGGAGCGCGUGCUCGCGGCGCGUGGCCGGUGUUCAUACUUCAGCCUGGCACUCACUCAAACCCACGUAUAGAUACGCUCAGUCUGGAUUAAUCCCAGCGUGGGAGAGGAUUAUUAUUUUAUGGUGAGAGUUUCUGUCUGAUUGAGGACAAUGCGGGGCUGAAGGUGAAGACUGUUUAUGUGAAGAAGAGCUGGAAGAAUUCGUCAUCAAAAUGGAUGAGGAUAAAGGGGUGGACUUCCAGUCCCUGAAGGCUAGGUUCCAGAAUGAUGAAACUUUGAAGAUCCGAGUCAAACCUGCCAUCCCAGAAAAACCCAAAGCUCUCACCUCUCCAACCUUUCCCACCUCGCCCACCACCAAAAUAAGCAAUCCUCUGGUUACCAGCAUCAUGGAGAACCGCAUGUCCUUUACUCCUCGAGUGGUCUUCAAAGAUGACAAAAAGAGCCCCGGCAAGCGGCCGGUAUCAAUGCCCGAACCUUUACCAUUAAACAUGAAUCCUGAAUUGGUGGACAAGAAGCAAAAAAAGGAAGGGGAUCUUAUCAAACAAGCAUUGAAAGAUAAGAAUCUUCCCCUGGUUUUGCCUGUAAAUCCUGUUAUUCCAGUCAUUGAAGAGACCCCCAAACCUGAUCCUAUCUCAGCCUCUUCAGCUGUGGCAUCUCCAAGCAAAGUUUCCACACCUAAAAAGAAGAUUUUUUUCAACUUUUCAAAAUCGCCCAAAGCUGAGAAAGAAAAGAGAGACAUUGCAGAAAGUACAGUUCCAGUGAACCCUGCACUUGAUCAUCUUGCUCCCAGCAGCUCCACUCCAGUCAACUCAACUCCUAUAGUUAAUAAGCCUGUGUCUUACAAGGCUCUCGUUCCCCCAAGUCAAGCAGAAGUUGUUCCAGCAUCCAGUAGUCCAAUCAUCCCUGUUAUUCCUGCUCCAGUUAUUUCUAAUCCUGCCAUUCCUGAGCCAGAGGUUCCUGAAGUGCGGACAGUUCCAGAAAUGGACAUUGUGUCCCAGGUUUGUUCUGAACCAGACAUCUUAAAGCCAAAAAGUCCUAUUCCAGUUGCAGUGCCAGAUGUAUCUUUGCCUGAGAACAUGACGACAGAAAUGCCAGAUUCUACAGAGAUGCCAGAUAUUCUUGAUAUGGAUAUUCCUCCUCCAAUUAUUCCUGAAGACAUUCCAGAUGCAGAUAUUUAUUCCCUAGAUAUACCUGUCCCAGUUACUCCUGAUCUUUUUAUCACUGCACUUUCUACUUCAUCUACUCCACCUUCCAGCAGUCCCAAUCUCUCCCGCACAGCCUCCCCUGCCCCAGUCAGAUCUGCAUCAGUCACACCUGAGCCAGCUAACCUGGUUCUGCCAACGCUAACCCCAAAUCCAGAUGCAGCUUCUAGCCCAAGAACUUCUCCAAUAUUGUCAUCUGCAGCUACAGACGUAAAGCCGGUGACAGAAAACGGCACUGCUGAAUCUCAUGAAGGGAUGGACCAGACAGAGAAGACACCAGAGCUUCUGUCAUCCACUUCAUCCACACCCAUUUCAGCCUUGUCUGUUUUAGCAAGAGCUGAGGAGAUGGCCCCCGUCAAACACACCAUUUGUGAUCAGAGAGUGCUGAAUCUUCUAGAAAAGGCUAAGAGAAAGCAUAAUGUGAGCCACCAGACACCCACACCUACUACACCUGAAUCUCCAGGAAUGGUCUUACCUGACACAACCUCUCCAGCAUUGGCUCCAGUUGAGUCUUCAACACCGAAGAAUUUACAUCCUGAAGCCACCCAAGCUGAACCAGCCCCAGCAGUGGAAGCUGCACAGGUCCGACAAUCUCUUGUUGUGGAUCUUCCUGAUAUCCCUCCAGUUGACUAUGAGGAUCAGUCGGGGGAUAGAGCUUCAGUCAGGUCUAAUACCCCUAGCUCUGAAACAGCCCUGACUAACGGCCUAGAUCACAACCGUGCUUCACCCGCUCCUAAAGUGCUAACUGUGCACAAACCUGCUGCAGCGAAGGGUAAGCCUCCGCCACCUCCACCUAGAAAGACCCCCGUGACUGUACCCAAUGGAAGCAUCACACCAGAGAAGCCAGCGCGUGUCCUGAGCACAGAUCUACAGACCUCCACUCUGGCGGAUCAGCCAGUGGAGGAAAACGGUACAACUUAGCAGAACUUAGAAUUCAGAAAUGCCUGAUAUUAUUUAUUCUCUUAAGAAUCCUUUUUCUAAAACACUUGACUGUAAUCUAUAAUUGUUACAGGGAUCAUUAUUCCGGCUCCAGUGGAUUUCACCUCAGAAAAUUCGUCAUUGGACGAUUCAGAAUUUGAUGAUUCAUCUGAACCAGUUGCUCUCGAGGAUCCACAACAAGCUGAACUUCCAGAACAUGAAAGUUUUGCAUUUUCAGUUCAUGAACAAGCCUUUUUGGAACAGUUAUAUCCAGAAUAUCAGACAAAUUCAGAGGAGUUUGUUCCAAGUGUGGAGACCACAGAAACCGAUUCUGCUCCAAAAGCAACAGGAACUCCAGAUUCAGUCCCAGACUCUCCUGUCAGUCCAUCUCCAUCAGGGUAAAUCACGAGGAUAAUUAACGAUUUCAUUUUUACCAUUUUUAGAUUUCAAAACUAACCAACAUUAUUAGUUUUUUUUUUAACGAUUAAAAAAUAUUUAAUCAGUAUUUUUACGUUUCCAUAGGACCCUGGAGAUGAAUGACAACGGUGACAAUAACAUCUAUGAAGACCUAGCAGCCAACAAGAGACAAAAAUCCACUAAGAAACCACGCAAAAUAGUUCCCAUGAGUAUGAAGACAUUUAUUUGUUGCAUUUUGUUUCAUGUUAGUACAGAAAUUAGUUUGGUGUAAUGUACCUUUAUCAGUCUGUAAUGUGAUUUACCUUUAAGAGGUCUCUGGUCUGCUGACCCACUGAAACUGCAGAUUUUAGAUUUGUAUCUGCCCUUGUUCUGUCAGUUAUAUAAGAUAAUAUAAGAACAGAGUUUCUAUAUUGCUUAUUACAGUAUUGAGCUAAAACAUGCCACAGAUCAUGGACCUUCAGUGUUUUCUUGAUUUUUAGAUCCAUAUGCUGAUUCUGUUAAUGUGGUAAGUGUGUUUUUAAUUAACAUGUUUUUCCAAAAACAGUGUGUUAUAUUAUGCUUAUUUUAACUAAAUCUUAUUAUUAGG